CCAGACUCCUACGGGAGGCAGCAGUGGGGGAUAUUGGACAAUGGGGGGAACCCUGAUCCAGCGACGCCGCGUGAGUGAAGAAGUAUCUCGGCAUGUAAAGCUCUAUCAGCAGGGAAGAAAGAAAUGACGGUACCUGAGUAAGAAGCCCCGGCUAACUACGUGCCAGCAGCCGCGGUAAUACGUAGGGGGCAAGCGUUAUCCGGAAUUACUGGGUGUAAAGGGAGCGUAGACGGUGAAGUAAGUCUGGAGUGAAAGGCGGGGGCCCAACCCCCGGACUGCUCUGGAAACUAUUUGACUGGAGUGCAGGAGAGGUAAGCGGAAUUCCUAGUGUAGCGGUGAAAUGCGUAGAUAUUAGGAGGAACACCAGUGGCGAAGGCGGCUUACUGGACUGUAACUGACGUUGAGGCUCGAAAGCGUGGGGAGCAAACAGGAUUAGAUACCCUCGUAACC
rnacentral:rRNA from 1 species